AUUGAACGCUGGCGGCAGGCCUAACACAUGCAAGUCGAACGAGUGGCGGACGGGUGAGUAAUGUCUGGGAAACUGCCUGAUGGAGGGGGAUAACUACUGGAAACGGUAGCUAAUACCGCAUACCAUCAGAUGUGCCCAGAGGGGAUUAGCUUGUACGUGGGGUAAAGGCUCAACUAGGCGACGAUCCCUAGCUUGUCUGAGAGGAUGACCAUCCACACUGGAACUGAGACACGGUCCCGACUCGUACGGGAGGCAGCAGUGGGGAAUAUUGCACAAUGGGCGCAAGCCUGAUGCAGCCAUUCCGCGUGUAUGAAGAAGGCCUUCGGGUUGUAAAGUACUUUCAGCGGGGAGGCGUUACCCGCAGAAGAAGCACCGGCUAACUCCGUGCCAGCAGCCGCGGUAAUUC
rnacentral:rRNA from 1 species